CUCACUGGCAGUUCAACCACCUUCUCUUCCAUGUUGACCUGAAAAUGACCCUAUCCUCGUUCGCACAUAAAAUUUAUUAAUUUAAAUAUUCACGCAUGACUUGCCUUGUUCCAAGGCUGCAAUAAUAAAAAAAUAAAACGCUCAUUUUCUUUAUUGUGUUGUAGCAGAAUAUCUUGAAAUUAUAACUUUUAUUUUACGCGAUCUCUGAUUUUAUAGUAAUUUGAGGAACAAGGUUACAGAAGCAGGAAGCAAAUUUCAAGGCCUGACGUCAUUUUGCUGUUUAUUUAUAUUGAACGGUGUCUUCGGUAAUUUUUAACCGAUUUAUACGCAUUUAGCAGAGUUACUUAAUACUACUGUUGAAUUACAAUGAGUGCUGCACCACCACCACCAAGUUAUGAGCAAGCUACAGCCGGAGAGGCCCAGUUUCCUACCUCCCCUCCCCCUGUCAAUGAUACAUACAACACACAAUAUAAUACUCAGUAUGGUUCUGAUUUUGGUCCUGGAUAUCCACAUCAAAAUGAUCCAGCAUAUCCUCCACCAACUGCAUUUGUACCCCCACCGACGACUGAUUAUAAUCCUGAUCCUGAUCCGGC